GACGAACGCUGGCGGCGUGCUUAACACAUGCAAGUCGAACGGUGAACCGGGCUUCGGCCCGGGGAUCAGUGGCGAACGGGUGCGUAACACGUGGGCAACCUGCCUCAGACACUGGGAUAACCCCGGGAAACCGGGGCUAAUACCGGAUACUCCGACCGGACUGCAUGAUCCGGCCGGGAAAGCUCCGACGGUCUGAGAUGGGCCCGCGGCCUAUCAGCUUGUUGGUGGGGUAACGGCCCACCAAGGCGACGACGGGAGCUGGUCUGAGAGGACGACCAGCCACACUGGAACUGAGACACGGUCCAGACUCCUACGGGAGGCAGCAGUGGGGAAUCUUGCGCAAUGGGCGAAAGCCUGACGCAGCGACGCCGCGUGGGGAUGAAGGCCCUCGGGUUGUAAACCCCUUUCGGCAGGGACGAAGCGAACGUGACGGUACCUGCAGAAGAAGUCCCGGCUAACUACGUGCCAGCAGCCG
rnacentral:rRNA from 1 species